rnacentral:rRNA from 2 species
CAAAGGUAGCAUAAUCAGUUGGCUUUUAAUUAAAGUCUGGUAUGAACGAAAGUAUGGGUGGAAACUGUCUUAGUAUAUUGAUUCGAACUUAUUAAGCAAGUGCAAAUACUUGCAAGUUUAAAAAAGACGAGAAGACCCUAGAAACUUGGAGUAGUUUUUGUUGGGGCGACAGAAUUACAUUUAACUAAUUCUUAUGACAUGACAUUUAAUUGGUAGAAUAAGUUACUCUAGGGAUAACAGCAUAAUUUUAACAGUUUGUGACCUCGAUGUCGAAUUAG